rnacentral:lncRNA from 1 species
CACAAAAGCAGGACAGUCAGACUUUUGUGGCCAAGAUCUCCUCACCUCCUUGGUUCCCAAACCCCCUGGGUGUCAGUCCACCCACCCCAUGAGUGCUCCUGGGGGUGGAAAACUCCAGGGCCCUGGGAGAAUUUCAGGAGAAAGAAGGCGUUUAGGGCAGAGUGAAUUACACUUUUAAGAACAAGAGGGCACCGUGCCCUCAGAUGAAAAUUGUUUCAUAGAUUGCAAACAAUUCCUGUAAUGCCUGGGUUUGACCUCCUGUAACUUUGUCUCCCAACUAUAUGAGAUAGACCCUUCAGAGAUGACCAUCACCUGCCUGGCAAUAUGGCAGCAGCGAUCAGUGCUGCCAGCUCAAUGUCCCACCACAAAUGAGACCUGCUCUUCUGUAAACUCACCUGUAAACAAAAUGAUUCAGUAGCCAAGGCCCAUGGUGCCAGUGAUGUAAUGGUGGAGACUACAUCAUAGCAGGAAGACCAACAAAAACCAGCUAAGAAACCAUAUGCAGCCGUUAGUCUUUCUAAAGAUUAACUUCUUGAAGUGACCAGGCCAUGACUCAUGACCCAACCCCACCCCUCAGUCUGCUGUGACUCAUCGAAGAAGCCAGAUAAACUGAACGCUGAACGACAGCAAUGGGAGAGAUGUGAAACCCUGAGAGGUAAGUUGCCCACGGCUAGGAGGGCUAGGAUGUCAAUGAAGCAAAAUGGAAGCCCAAUGUUGCUGACUACAAGCCCACAUUCCAAAAUGAUGUAAUGCAGCCUUAUUGUUAAUAAAACGUGUUGUUAUUACUACUGGGUUCUCAGCUGAAUGCUGAGCCCUGUGGCCCAUUGUCCAGCACUCAGCCAGGUCCCCAGGGAGCACUGGGGCCACUUGAUGCAGGGGAAUGCCGAGCAGCGUGCGGUCAGGCAGGCCCAACUGGCCAGGUGACGCCUCGCCAGAUGGUCGCCUGCCCCAGAGGCCACUAUUGAAAACCUGAAAGAGACAAAACGCCUGUGGAAUCUUCCAGGAGAGGACAGAUGCUGCUGAGGGAAAACCUGUCUUUGCUGCAGUGUCAGGCAAUGGAUGAACAAAGCAAGGAAUGAGAAGCUGCCCUGCCUCAUUUCAUAAUCAAAUAAAUGCCUACCACCCGUUUUUUCCCCAUUCCUGGUUAUUCGCAAGUUAAAAUGACCCCUACCAAAAGAUUAAUAUUAAAAACGGACUCUGAGAAAUAAACUCCCC